GAUGAACGCUGGCGGCGUGCCUAAUACAUGCAAGUCGAGCGAACAGACGAGGAGCUUGCUCCUCUGACGUUAGCGGCGGACGAGUGAGUAACACGUGGAUAACCUACCUAUAAGACUGAGAUAACUUCGGGAAACCGGAUCUAAUACCGGAUAAUAUAUUGAACCGCAUGGUUCAAUAGUGAAAGACGGUUUUGCUGUCACUUAUAGAUGGAUCCGCGCCGCAUUAGCUAGUUGGUAAGGUAACGGCUUACCAAGGCAACGAUGCGUAGCCGACCUGAGAGGGUGAUCGGCCACACUGGAACUGAGACACGGUCCAGACUCCUACGGGAGGCAGCAGUAGGGAAUCUUCCGCAGAGGGCGAAAGCCUGACGCAGCCACGCCGCGUGAGUGAUGAAGGUCUUCGGAUCGUAAAACUCUGUUAUUAGGGAAGAACAAAUGUGUGAGUAAAUAUGGCCGUCUUGACGGUACCUAAUCAGAAAGCAACGGCUAACUACGUG
rnacentral:rRNA from 1 species